rnacentral:rRNA from 1 species
AUUGAACGCUGGCGGUAUGCUUAACACAUGCAAGUCGAACGGUAACAGGCCUAGCUUGCUAGGUGCUGACGAGUGGCGGACGGGUGAGUAACGCGUGGGAAUCUGCCUUAUUGUGGGGGAUAACCUGGGGAAACUCAGGCUAAUACCGCAUGAGCCCUAAGGGGGAAAGGAUGGGACCGAAAGGCCAUUCGCGAUAAGAUGAGCCUGCGUUGGAUUAGCUAGUUGGUGGGGUAAAGGCCUACCAAGGCGAGGAUCCAUAGCUGGUCUGAGAGGACGAUCAGCCACACUGGGACUGAGACACGGCCCAGACUCCUACGGGAGGCAGCAGUGGGGGAAUAUUGGACAAUGGGGGCAACCCUGAUCCAGCAAUACCGCGUGUGUGAAGGAGGCCUGCGGGUUGUAAAGCACUUUCAGUGGGGAGGAAGAGCUCGGUGCUAACAGUAUCGAGUUGAGACGUUACCCACAGAAGAAGCACCGGCUAACUCUGUGCCAG